GAUGGCAGAGAGGUCACACCCGUUCCCAUACCGAACACGGAAGUUAAGCUCUCUAGCGCCGAUGGUAGUUGGGACCUUGUCCCUGUGAGAGUAGGACGUCGCCAAGCAAAAACCUAAGUCGUUUCGACUUAGGUUUUUUUGUGUUUAUUUUUAUUUACCAAAUGUUAAAAUCCAUAAGUUUAAUAACGUUAAAGACGAAAAAAUAAUGAAAUAGAAACGGUAUAAAAUGAAAUUUGGAUAUUAAAGUGAUAAGAAGGUUAUAAAGUAAUACGUUUAAAUAUUAAUUGAAGGUAAGAAUUACCUUUUUAUGUUAAUUUAGUUGUAGAGUGAACAAUAAUGUUUUUGAUCUAAUAUGAAAAGGUUAUGCGAAAAAGAGCUGGAUGACUAUUUUUCACAUAACCUUUUUGUGGUUUUAAAGGAUUUUACUUAAGAAAAAAUCUAUAAUUAAGGUAGUUAACAUAUAUUUUUUGAUGGGUGUGGGGGAUUAUGAAAGAAAUAUGCAUGUUAUUAGUGGCUGUUAUAUUAUGGGGGACGGCAAUUGCACCAACGAAAUGGGCAUUAGAAUCUAUUCAACCAUUUACUUUGUUAUUUAUUCGUCUUUUCUUGGCGGGUGGAAUUUGUAUGCUUUUUUCAUAUGGCCAACUUCAAAAAGCGAUCGUACAUAAACAUAUUCCAUGGAAAAGAAUGAGUUUGCUAUCUUUUACUGGUGUAGCUGGAUAUUUUAUGUUCACAU
rnacentral:rRNA from 1 species